UACAGUUAAACUAGCAUGAUUAAGUCUGAGGUACUGUGGUUUUAAUCGAUGUUUAAAGAUGGUAGGGAAACACUCAGGUGGGUAUGAGCGUGUGGCAUGCCUGCGACGAUUCAACAUGUUAUUAUAAUGUAAAAUACAGGAAAGUAAGAUGGUAUUCAACUUUAUUUCAGAAUUAGGAGUUUCUUUUGAAACGUUUCUUGGUUCAGAUAAGAAUAAGCGGUAACUAUUUGAAAGGAAAGCUUUGGAUUUGUUUGUAUGCAACCAGACUUGCACGGAUGCAUCUGAGGAUCAGUUGUGGAUUUUUUUUAACGACCAGCAGAGGGGCAGUAACGCGUGUGGAAGUUUAACAAACCAGUAUCAAACCAAGCGAAGAGGCGGAAGCAAAACGCAGAGCGAUGUGAAGUAAUUAUUUUUGGACACAACUAAUUGGCCUUACAUGAUUAUUAAAAGAAUCCAUGUAAAACCCAGGAGCUGAGGGGAGUGCUUCGGAGGCAUCGGUGCUGGGCUUCACAUGUCCCGAUUCAGAAUGCUGCUCCCCGACUCGCCUUCAACCUUCCCAAGUUAUCCCAAGUCACUCCUCUGCUGAGUUCACUCCACUGGCUACCGGUCGCUGCCAGGACCAGGUUCAAAGUCCAGAUCCUCGCCUACCCUGCAGCCAACAGGACGGCCCCCGGCUACUUACAGGACAUGAUUCAAUCCUACACGCCAGCUCGACCACUCCGCUCUGUGGAAACAGGGCCACUUGCACCCCUGCCAUUCGGAUGAAUCUGGGAUAAUUUUUUCACUUAAAUUCCCCUCUUUUAUGCUACACAUGUACCUCCUGUGCCAAUUUCAUGUUACCUGUACCGCCAUCCAGCACUUAUACUGUACUUUGUAUCAUUAUCUUGAUGUUGUAGCUUGUCAUGCCUCCUAGUUUUACUUAGCAGAGGUUAGGUCAGAGUAAUGUUUAAUGUGUGAACUGGACUUAAUGUGUUCAUGGCUAUGAAUAACUGUUACAAAAUGAGUAUUGUGCCUUAUUGGAUCUGUGUUUUGUAGUUGUUCCAAUGACCUUCUUUAUGCACUUAUUGUACGUCACUUUGGAUAAAAACGUCUGCCGAAUAAUGCAAUGUAAUGUCAGGAGUUUGCCUCCCUCUGCUGGACAGAAAAUGGUAUUACAGCAGAGGAAAUCCGAUUUAAAAAAUGUUGCAAUGUACAAGUCGAUUUUUUGUAUGGUUAUUAAAUGUAUGUGGAUUUUAAUGCUGCACACAAGUUGCCCUCUGGGGAUAAUAAAGAUCUACUGAAACCAAAA